UAGAAGGGCAAGUCACCCAGGG
rnacentral:piRNA from 1 species